rnacentral:rRNA from 1 species
GUGCCUAUAMUGACAAGUCGAACGAGGUAGCAAUACCUAGUGGCGCACGGGUGAGUAACGCGUGGAUAAUCUGCCCUCGAGUUGGGGAUAACCAGUCGAAAGAUUGGCUAAUACCGAAUAAGACCACAAGAACUGAGGUUCAAGGGGUUAAAGGUUUUUCGCUUGAGGAUGAGUCCGCGUGAGAUUAGCUAGUUGGUGAGGUAAUGGCUCACCAAGGCGACGAUCUCUAGCUGGUCUGAGAGGAUGAUCAGCCACACUGGAACUGAGACACGGUCCAGACUCCUACGGGAGGCAGCAGUAGGGAAUAUUGCACAAUGGAGGAAACUCUGAUGCAGCGACGCCGCGUGAGUGAUGAAGGCCUUCGGGUCGUAAAGCUCUGUCGCAGGGGAAUAAGACAGUGAAUGUACCCUGCAAGAAAGGAUCGGCUAACUUCGUGCCAGCAGCCGCGGUAAGACGAGGGAUCCUAGCGUUGUUCGGAAUUAUUGGGCGUAAAGCGGGUGUAGGUGGCUUUGUAAGUCAGGUGUGAAAUCCCAGGGCUCAACCCUGGACGUGCAUUUGAUACUGCGAAGCUUGAGUGUAGGAGAGGAUAGUAGAAUUCCUGGUGUAGUGGUGAAAUACGUAGAUAUCAGGAGGAAUACCNGAGGCGAAGGCGGCUAUCUGGCCUA